UCAGAUUCUGUGUCUCCCUCUCUCUCUGCCCCUCCCCUGCCCUCACUCUAUCUCUAUCAAAAAUAAACAUUAAAAAUUAAAAAAAUAAUCAAUAUGCUGAAGUGGCACAUUUUGGGGUAGACUGCCUUGGACUGCACAUGCCCACUUGUGUAGGUUAGGUCUUAGAUUUAGGCAGGUGCCUUGGAGCUCCAAGAGCCCACACCCAUGGCCCAGCCUCUCCAAAUGCUUGCCCUGUUCCAAGUUCGUGGGUACCCUGACUUGCAUGUUCUGCACAUGCUCAGUAUGUAUCCUAUCAGCUGGUCUUGGAAGCCAGUACCCUGCAGUCCUGUGCAACUUGGCCCAGUCACCAACCUUUUAUAGUCUCCUGGGUGGGGGGGUGGUGGGGAAUCCCAAAAUACUUCUGCAUCAGCUGCUUUGAACAGGAUAGUCCACAUUUGGACAGGCUGCCUGAUGGGGUACUGAGUUUUUCCAGCAGUCUUCCAAAGGUCUCUUACUGGAAGACUAUAGGCCAGUCUGCCUGGCCACAGCCUGGCAUGGCCAUCUAGAGUCCUUCAGCUUUGCCUUCAGGGAGAAUGUGUUCAUUUCUGUAGGUUACUGCUUGGGAUUAGGCAGAUGGAAGAUACCCCCAGUAUCCCUCUCCUGUGACAUGGCCUCACCCAACCCUGCCCUUUCUAGGUCCUUGACUACUCUGACCUGUGGACCUGUACAUGUGCAGUCUGUACUUUGUCAGCCAGCCCUUGGCUGUUUGGGACCCAAGCCAUUUUCAACUACCUUUCUAUCAGGGCAGAAGGAGCCCACCCCCAAAAAUCUGAGAUAGCAGCUUUAAACUGGUGACAAUCUGUUCCUGUUUGGACUGGCUGGCUAAUGGGGUCCUCGGCUUACCAGUAAUCAAGUCUCCCAAAUGUCUCUUAUUGGAACAUACCCUGGUCAAUUGGCAAGUAAGUGCAGAUUCCUCCAGCUUUGCUUUAAAAGAAAGAAGUGUGUCUAUGGAGGUUAGGGCUUGAAAUUAGGCAGAAUCCACACGCUCCCAACAUUAUGCUCUUGAUACCAGUGAUCUCCUGACACUUGCUAAGGUCCAGAUUCCCAGUGACCCUGGACUGUGCUGUCAAAGCACCUGGAGUCGGAAGCCCUUCAGCCAGCCUCAAGAAGUCAGGGCUCACCAGGCUAGUGUAGCUGGAAUUUGACCCCAAAUACCCACAAAAGUUUAAUAUAGAAGGUACCACCCCCAAGCAUCACCCUGGGGCAAUAGCUACAAACUGGAGACUGUCCAUUUCCAUUUGGACUUGCUGCCUAUAGGAUUCCAGAGCUUUUCCAGAAAACAGGGCUCCCAGGAGUGUCUUAUUUUAGAGGAUACCUUGGGAAGCCCUUCCUGCCCUGCCUUGCCAAGCCUGUCCAAUAACCCUGAGCUCUGGGUUCAGAGGGGUUAUUGCCCAUUGGGUCGGUUAGGGCUUAUGGGGACUCAUAGACCUUUUCCCUGUAAAAAUGAGUAAAGGAAACCUCAUGUAUAAUAGAGUCAAGAAGCCCUGAAAGAGGGAGCUCUCAUGCACAUACCACUCCUGCAGCCUGCUUAACCAGCGGGAAGAAAGAAGACUUAUCUUGUAUCUUGACAAGGUGGACAUUUAAUGCUGUCAGACAAGCAGAUCCAGAGAAGACCCCCAACAACUCUGAGGUUGGUGAACAAACAGGUGCAAAUACCCACAAAGUCAACUGAACUCAUUGCUUUCUUGCUGACCCUGGUGUUCUGAGGUUGAGUCUCUUUUAGACUUGGAGCUCUGCUCUCUUUUCAUUUUGACUUCUCUAGCUUUAUUUGAAAUCUGUUUUUGUUUUUAUGAAGGCAUCACCCUUCCCGGUGCAGGCUUUUUUGUUUCUCUUUUUUGAAGCUUCCCGGUCAGUCACUCAUUGUAUCCAAAAGGGAGGAAAACACAUGAUUCACAAUGUUUUAGAACAGUUGUUUAAAAAUAAGACCUCUCAUACUUAAGAUUCCUUUAUGAAUCCAAAGGCAAAUUAGGCUCCACCAGGUUAUUGAACCAGCAGCUAGUGCCUUUCUUGAAAAAAUGUGUCAACUUUUGAAGAAUUUGGAAUUAUAAUGGCCACUCUGGUAAAGCUUUCAGAUAAAUCCUCCUUAAGGAGCCCCCUUAAUGAGGAUUACAAACCUCAGAGAGACAAUGCAAUGCGUUCUUUGAUUGAUAUGCACAAUCUUCUAAAGACAAGGACUUUAAAAACAGUUCUGAAAGGAUCCAUACUUUAUACAAAUAAAUAAAAACUCUAAUAAAAGUCCUUAGCAAUCUGAGCAGGAAACUCUAACUUAGUCCACCUGCACAAUUUGGAUCCCCUUUAGUUGAACCCUUGAAUAAUGCAGGGAUUAGGGACAUCAUCCCCCUUACAAUAUAUACUUGUGUAUAUACGUUGUAUGCAAGUAUAACAUUUGACUCCCCCCCCCCAACUUAACUAAUAGCCUACUGUUGACAUAAGCAGUCAACACAUAUUUUGUAUGUUAUAUAUAUUAUAUAUUGUAUUCUUACAAAAAAUAAG